GAUGAACGCUGGCGGCGUGCCUAAUACAUGCAAGUCGAGCGAACAGACGAGGAGCUUGCUCCUCUGACGUUAGCGGCGGACGGGUGAGUAACACGUGGAUAACCUACCUAUAAGACUGGGAUAACUUCGGGAAACCGGAGCUAAUACCGGAUAAUAUAUUGAACCGCAUGGUUCAAUAGUGAAAGACGGUUUUGCUGUCACUUAUAGAUGGAUCCGCGCCGCAUUAGCUAGUUGGUAAGGUAACGGCUUACCAAGGCAACGAUGCGUAGCCGACCUGAGAGGGUGAUCGGCCACACUGGAACUGAGACACGGUCCAGACUCCUACGGGAGGCAGCAGUAGGGAAUCUUCCGCAAAGGGCGAAAGCCUGACGGAGCAACGCGGCGUGAGUGAUGAAGGUCUUCGGAUCGUAAAACUCUGUUAUUAGGGAAGAACAAAUGUGUACGUAACUAUGCACGUCUUGACGGUACCUAAUCAGAAAGCCACGGCUAACUACGUG
rnacentral:rRNA from 1 species